rnacentral:rRNA from 1 species
GACGGGGACCCGCACAAGCGGUGGAGCAUGUGGUUUAAUUCGAAGCAACGCGAAGAACCUUACCAGGCCUUGAGAUCCGGAUGAAUGGGGAGUAAAGUUCCCAGUACUUCGGUACAUCCGAGACAGGUGGUGCAUGGUUGUCGUCAGCUCGUGUCGUGAGAUGUUGGGUCAAGUCCCGCAACGAGCGCAACCCUUGCGGUCAGUAGCCAGCGAGCAAAGUCGGGCACUCUGACAGGACUGCCGGGGACAACCCGGAGGAAGGUGGGGAUGACGUCAAAUCAUCAUGCCCCUUAUGGCCUGGGCUACACACGUGCUACAAUGGCGCACACAGAGGGAGGCGAAGGCGCGAGCCGGAGCGAAUCCCAAAAAAGGCGCCCCAGUUCGGACUGCAGUCUGCAACCCGACUGCACGAAGCUGGAAUCGCUAGUAAUCGCAGAUCAGAAUGCUGCGGUGAAUACGUUCCCGGGUCUUGUACACACCGCCCGUCACACCAUGGGAGUCAGGAAUGCCCGAAGCCCGCGGCUUAACCGCAAGGAAAGAACGGUCGAAGGCAGGCCCGGUGACUGGGGUAAAGUCGUAACAAG